rnacentral:rRNA from 1 species
GACGAGCCACACAAACGUUAUUCGGAAUUACUGGGCUUAAAGGGUGCGUAGGCUGCGCGGAAAGUGGGGUGUGAAAUCCCUCAGCUCAACUGAGGAACUGCGCUCCAAACUACCGUGCUUAAGUGAGACAGAGGUAAGCGGAACUUCGGGUGGAGCGGUGAAAUGCGUUGAUAUCCGAAGGAACACCGGUGGCGAAAGCGGCUUACUGGGUCUCAACUGACGCUGAUGCACGAAAGCUAGGGUAGCAAACGGG